rnacentral:rRNA from 1 species
AACGCAGCGAAGGGCGAUAAGUAGUGUGAAUCGCAGAAUUCAGUGAAUCAUCGAAUCUUUGAACGCACAUUGCGCCCUUUGGUAUUCCUUAGGGCAUGCCUGUUCGAGCGUCAUCUCACCCCUCAAGCUAUGCUUGGUGUUGGGCGUUGUCCCGCCUCCGGUGCGGACUCGCCUUAAAAUCAUUGGCGGCCUUUGUAUUUGGGCUACGAGCGCAGCACAUUUCGCGCCUCGACCCGCGUCACUGGCAUCCAGUAAGCGAAAACCAUAGUUUUGACCUCGGAUCAGGUAGGGAUACCCGCUGAACUUAA